GAUGAACGCUGGCGGCGUGCCUAACACAUGCAAGUCGAGCGAGAAAUCUUGGAACGAUACUUCGGUAAAGGGAAGAGAUGGAAAGCGGCGGACGGGUGAGUAACGCGUAGGCAACCUGCCCCAUACAGAGGGAUAGCCUCGGGAAACUGGGAUUAAAACCUCAUAACGCGAAGAAGCUGCAUGGCAACUUCGCCAAAGAUUUAUCGGUAAGGGAUGGGCCUGCGUCUGAUUAGCUAGUUGGUAGGGUAACGGCCUACCAAGGCAACGAUCAGUAGCCGACCUGAGAGGGUAAUCGGCCACAUUGGAACUGAGACACGGUCCAAACUCCUACGGGAGGCAGCAGUGGGGAAUAUUGCACAAUGGGCGAAAGCCUGAUGCAGCAACGCCGCGUGAACGAAGAAGGCUUUCGGGUCGUAAAGUUCUGUCCUUGGGGAAGAAAAAAAUGACGGUACCCUUGGAGGAAGCCCCGGCUAACUACGUGCCAGCCGCCGCGGUAACAC
rnacentral:rRNA from 1 species